CCCUUAGAGUUUGAUCCUGGCUCAGGACGAACGCUGGCGGCGUGCCUAAUACAUGCAAGUCGAGCGCGUGAAACUUUUCAGAUCUCUUCGGAGUGACGAAUUGUGGAUCGAGCGGCGGACGGGUGAGUAACACGUGGGCAACCUGCCUGUAAGAUCGGGAUAACUUGCGGAAACGUGAGCUAAUACCGGAUAAUGUCUUCUACCUCCUGGUAAAAGAAUGAAAGACGGUUUUGCUGUCACUUACAGAUGGGCCCGCGGCGCAUUAGCUAGUUGGUGGGGUAAUGGCCUACCAAGGCGACGAUGCGUAGCCGACCUGAGAGGGUGAUCGGCCACACUGGGACUGAGACACGGCCCAGACUCCUACGGGAGGCAGCAGUAGGGAAUCUUCCGCAAUGGACGAAAGUCUGACGGAGCAACGCCGCGUGAGUGAUGAAGGUUUUCGGAUCGUAAAACUCUGUUGUUAGGGAAGAACAAGUACGAGAGUAACUGCUCGUACCUUGACGGUACCUAACCAGAAAGCCACGGCUAACUACGUGCCAGCAGCCGCGGUAAUACGUAGGUGGCAAGCGUUGUCCGGAAUUAUUGGGCGUAAAGCGCUCGCAGGCGGUUUUUUAAGUCUGAUGUGAAAUCUUACGGCUCAACCGUAAGCGGUCAUUGGAAACUGGAGGACUUGAGUACAGAAGAGGAGAGUGGAAUUCCACGUGUAGCGGUGAAAUGCGUAGAGAUGUGGAGGAACACCAGUGGCGAAGGCGACUCUCUGGUCUGUAACUGACGCUGAGGAGCGAAAGCGUGGGGAGCAAACAGGAUUAGAUACCCUGGUAGUCCACGCCGUAAACGAUGAGUGCUAGGUGUUAGGGGGUUUCCGCCCCUUAGUGCUGAAGUUAACGCAUUAAGCACUCCGCCUGGGGAGUACGGCCGCAAGGCUGAAACUCAAAAGAAUUGACGGGGACCCGCACAAGCGGUGGAGCAUGUGGUUUAAUUCGAAGCAACGCGAAGAACCUUACCAGGUCUUGACAUCCCACUGGCCGCUAUGGAGACAUAGCUUUCCCUUCGGGGACAGUGGUGACAGGUGGUGCAUGGUUGUCGUCAGCUCGUGUCGUGAGAUGUUGGGUUAAGUCCCGCAACGAGCGCAACCCUUGAUCUUAGUUGCCAGCAUUUAGUUGGGCACUCUAAGGUGACUGCCGGUGACAAACCGGAGGAAGGUGGGGAUGACGUCAAAUCAUCAUGCCCCUUAUGACCUGGGCUACACACGUGCUACAAUGGAUGGAACAAAGGGGAGCAAAACCGCGAGGUCAAGCAAAUCCCAUAAAACCAUUCUCAGUUCGGAUUGCAGGCUGCAACUCGCCUGCAUGAAGCCGGAAUCGCUAGUAAUCGUGGAUCAGCAUGCCACGGUGAAUACGUUCCCGGGUCUUGUACACACCGCCCGUCACGCCACGAGAGUCGGUAACACCCGAAGUCGGUGAGGUAACCUUUAUUGGAGCCAGCCGCCGAAGGUGGGACCAAUGAUUGGGGUGAAGUCGUAACAAGGUAACCAAGGG
rnacentral:rRNA from 1 species